ensembl:lncRNA
ACCCAGGCGCGGUGCUCUGUGUGCGAACAGUGUGUUUAUUUACAGUGUGUGGUACAAACAAUAAUAAAUCUCCGUGUUUUCCCCAGACUCCCGUGAUGUGUCCUCCUUGUGCUCUCUGCUCCCGUGUGUCGCACUCCCGGUGCUCGCCGCUCUUCAGCAGCAGGUGCGUGGCUUCGGGUGUGGCCAGUCCCCUAGCAGGGCCACACCCACCAGGCCUGAAGGCACCUAUAAACGAGUGCUCAGACACACAGCCACCCACACACAUAUGUACAAGCAUAGGGAAAAGGGGGAGCAACACCAAAAAUACAUAAGUAACAUAAGUCUAUAACUGCUCAGGGAUCCUGGGUCGCUCAGACCCAGGACCCUGACACAUAUCUUCAUGUUGAUUUACAGAACACUGUCAAACUCACAAACUGGGUAAAGUGUAGUGGAGUUGAAUAUCGUGUUGGGCUUUUUGUUUGUACAGGCACUUAUGAAAACAUCCCAGUUUUCAGCAAGAUGACUUCGAUCAUUUUGCAUGAUGGUAAAGCUAUUUUUGUUAUGGUUGAGCAUGAAACGUGUUUCCAUGAUCAUUUUCAUGCUUUUCAGGUAAAUGAAACUAUUCCUAAAAAGAUACUGGUCCUAGAAAGGGAGAAAUUAAGACAUUACAAAUGUUUUGAUGCCCAAAUGUCAUAUGGGUGUGAUUCACAAUUUUAUGUUGUGUCAGAGAGUUGCAUUAUUUGAUUUGUUGGCUUAAUGGAGAAUUUAUAGUCUUCCUCAUGUUAACACUGCAUUACAAGAAGUGCUUAUUCUGUAGUGAUUUUUUUCUUUAAUUCUGUUUUUUUUCUUUUCCCCCAAUGUUAGGCCAAUCUGACCACACAAUGUCUCAACUGUUUAGCUGCCAUUAAUGAUGGAUGUUACGCUAUUACAGUACUGUUACACAGAAUGUAUGCUAAUCCAUGCAGCAUUCAAUUUUGAAUGUUAUUUUUGAUAAAUAAAAUUAAUACAUUCAUAAUAACCAGUAUGGUGUCUUGUAGUAAUUUCCACCUAAAACCUUUUUUCAUUUGAUGAGAAACACUAUAAAAGAGUUAAUAUCAAAUUAACUCUAGUUAUGAGUUACAUUUUACUCUAUAUGGUAGUAGAAAUUUAACUCCAUGAGAGUUCAGUUUUAACUCAUAAAGAGUUGAAAAAUCAACUCCCGGGAAAGACUCUGCACUAGAGUUCAUUCGAUGGUCACGCAUGUACACUCAAAUGUAAUUAAUCUGAACUCCCAGAGAGUUUAUUCCAAAGACCAGAAUUUGCUGUGUACAUUUUAAGAGUAAUGAUGGUCUGUCUCUCUUCCAUUGUUA